AAUAAUUACCACUGAACAAUCAGCGCUGGUUUAAAAUAGCUGGCAUAUGGCUAGCAGAAUAGUAGAUAAAACACUUAAUUAAACAUUUAACAAAUUAAC